AGUGAACGCUGGCGGUAGGCCUAACACAUGCAAGUCGAACGGCAGCACAGUAAGAGCUUGCUCUUACGGGUGGCGAGUGGCGGACGGGUGAGGAAUACAUCGGAAUCUACUUUUUCGUGGGGGAUAACGUAGGGAAACUUACGCUAAUACCGCAUACGACCUACGGGUGAAAGCAGGGGAUCUUCGGACCUUGCGCGAUUGAAUGAGCCGCUGUCGGAUUAGCUAGUUGGCGGGGUAAAGGCCCACCAAGGCGACGAUCCGUAGCUGGUCUGAGAGGAUGAUCAGCCACACUGGAACUGAGACACGGUCCAGACUCCUACGGGAGGCAGCAGUGGGGAAUAGUGGACAAUGGGCGCAAGCCUGAUCCAGCCAUACCGCGUGGGUGAAGAAGGCCUUCGGGUUGUAAAGCCCUUUUGUUGGGAAAGAAAAGCAGCAGGUUAAUACCCCGCUGUUCUGACGGUACCCAAAGAAGAAGCACCGGCUAACUUCGUG
rnacentral:rRNA from 1 species